GUGAAGUAGCCCACGUAGGAGACGAAGGCGGAGAUCAGCAGGACGUCCCCGCACAGCGUGACCCCCUGGCUUUUGAAGUUCUCCACCGACUCGGCCCAGCGGACGUUUUCUGACGCCAGUCCUCCUACCAGCCUGAGGUGGGGUCCGGGGGUCAGUGGGCGAAGCCCGUGCUCCCAGCGGGAGAGAGGGCAGGCUGGAGGACUGGGAAAGCUGUGCUCCCACCUUUACCACGGACCUCAUGACUUCAAAGCCUUCCUUUGCUCAGUAGUUCAGGAACAAACAUGCGUUUUGGGGAGUUUGGGGGAGAAAACGCUUUAGGGAAGCAGAACUAAUGCUUUCCGGGUGCGGCUGGGGACACCGAGCUUCCUUCCCCAGGGUGCAGGCAUCACGUGCACUCCGAUGCUAUCUGACCACGUGACCUGACCGCCGAGGCCGCUGCCUGGACACUGCUGAGCACACGCUCUGGGCAGCGGCUAGUCCGGUGGCGGCCACCUGGCCCCGCGUGGGGUGGGGACUCCAGGCUGUGCUUCAUGCUUCUCAGGCCACUAGCCCGAAGGCUGGUCCCCGACCCUGAACGGCACACCCAGCGUCCGGGAGCAGGGCCAGGUUUGAGGAAGUACGGAUGCCCGAUUAGGCUCAUGGAGGUGUGUCUCUAGCAUCACCUGAGCAGUCCUUCUUCCCGGUGACCGAAAGACCACCUCUGACUGUCCCGGCAGAGGUGAGUCCACAACCUACCGGAGGCCAGAAAGAAGACCAGACCGAAACUGAGAGUUCUGGCCUCUGGAGUGCAAUUAAGGCCACUCCGGCCCUUGGCAAGAAAAGUGGUGUUCAGGGGUCGGCAACUUGCCCAGAUUUAUGCCAACAGGGAGUGUUGGAACCAGCGCCCAGUUCUCCAGCAUCACCGGAGAGGCUAAGGCUCUACAAGUGAGACUUCAAAGAGGUGACAUUACAGGUGUUAUCUUACAAAAGUGAUGAGGAGCAAUGCCCUCAGAUGCAGUUAAGAAGCUCCAGAAACUAAUGUUUUUAAAAUAACGGCGACAUCAUUGAGCAUUAACAGACAGAGCUGUCUGGAGAACGAAUUCUGAAUGGAUGAUUCAAAAUCGUAAUUGAAGAGUGAUUGGAGUUUAGGUGGGGAACACAGUCCAUCACCUCCUCUCUCUGGCAUUUUUUACACUCUGUUUAGGCAGUGGGUCUGCGUCUAUUAAGCACACUCCAGACAGCAUGGGGAGGUGACAGUUGCGAUGUUUGCUGGGUGAAAAGGAGAAGACAUUUAUCAUGGCACUAUUUAUGAUGGCAGAAAUGGAGACAGCCUAAACCCUCAACAGCGUAGGUAUAGUUAAUUACAAUUCAUCUGUGAUUAAAAAAAAAAAAAGUGAAACAGUUCAAGUGUUUUGA